rnacentral:rRNA from 1 species
GACGUAGGAGGCGAGCGUUAUCCGGAUUUAUUGGGCGUAAAGCGCGUGCAGGCGGUUCUGUAAGUUGGGUAUGAAAUCUCCUGGCUUAACUGGGAGAGGCUACACAAAACUGCAGAGCUUGAGAAUGGGAGAGGGAGGUGGAAUUCCGGGUGUAGUGGUGAAAUGCGUAGAUAUCCGGAGGAACACCAGUGGCGAAAGCGGCCUCCUAGACCAUUUCUGACGCUCAGACGCGAAAGCUAGGGUAGCAAACGGG